ensembl:lncRNA
UGAAGGCAGAGAGAAGAGGAAAGAAAUAGCCAGCUGUGCGCCAUCCCUGUCAGCACUUCUAGUGGCCUGCGGCCACACCCUCCCGAGGUACUCAGCCAGCUCUUCACUGGCAGCAGGGAAAAGCUGAGUCUCUCCAGUUCUUAGGCUCCAUAUCUAGAGGUAAAUGGCCCAGAGAUUUUUCUGAGGGCAUUCCUUAUUCUUCAUUUGAUGGCAUGAGCACCAAGAAGACAGGAGCCGAGAAACAUUACCAUUUUUGGAACAAAGUGACAAAGGAAAACAGAAAGAGACAGAAGGGCCCAUCCUUCGGGAAGAGCGCACUAGCGCGUGAGUUAGUGGCAGACCCACUCCAGGGUUCAGCGGAGACUGCAAUCCCCCGUGUUCCUGUGUCUCUGAGAUAUUCCACAUAAAUGAUUAACAGUGGAUCAACAGACUAAAAACAAAGCAUGUUUACAGCACUUCAUUUAUACUGCCUUGUUGCUUGACAAAAUUCCGUUAUGCUUCCUGUCGGUAGUGCCUGAGGACAUGAAAAGGUAUCAUUUUGAGUCUUGGAAAUGAUGAUGACUGUGUCCCCAGCCCAGGGCUGUGGCCUGAUUCAACGAAGUCAACCAUCACAUCUCAAGUCCCUCCAAUCAGAGCCAUGGGUCAGGCCUCCCCAAGAGCAAGUCUCAGCAAAUACCAAGGAAAGAAGGGGAUGAUCCAGAUACCUAGACCUGCACAUUGAGGAGCUGCGCCCUGCCUGCCAGGGGUGAGUGGGCCUUUGUUGAAAGAGAAGCUACAAGGAAGGACCUUUGGCCCCAGGAAGUUUCAGUUCAUGGUCAGCUGGCUCCAAAACAAGAAGAUCAUGGCAAAAGAGUGCAGAGGAGCAAAGCUGCUCACCUCAUGGUGGCCUGGAAGCAGAGAGCAGGGGAGGAGGCAGAGAGGAAGGAGCGCUGUUGGCAGUGGAAUUUCACAUGUGCGGCCUCAGAGUGCUGGCCCAGCGUGGCUCAGCACCAGCCCUAGAGUGGCCUGCAGAGUCCCUUCCACCCGAGGGGGUGGAGGAAGAAGUGGAAAGGUAUUUCCUGGUCAGCGGUGCCAACACAGGGGCCGCUGGUGCGAUGCUAGGAUGGCAUCUGGGAUCUGCUGCUCCUCUGGGAGGACACUGACCUGCGCGAGGCCUCUGCCAGCUCACAGAGCAGGUGGGUUUGUGCAAAGCCUUCUUCCGGUCUCACCCACCGGAACCACAUGGCAUGUGAGCCCUUCUCCAGCACGCUGCAGUUCCCUCUGGUUUUGCGCAUCCUUCCUGUCCAGAUUAAAGAGGAUUUAGCAAAGCCAUUUCACGUGAUUUUGCAGAUUUUUUUUCCCUUUGAGGACACAUUUUUAUUUUUGUAAUUUAACCUGACAAGAAGUGAAACAUUCUGAAUAAAACCUUGUCCCAAAAGACUUACGCCCCAGAUGGAAAAUAAAUGUCUAAAAUUUGAAUACAAUUCUUUAAGGUUAUUUAGGUAGUGUUAUAAAUACUACAAUACCAGCUAAUUGUACAAGUAUCAGCCUUUUAAUCUAAACUAAUCUGCCUUUUCCUCUCAAGUAUUAUUAUUCAAACUUGAUAAGCAUUUUUGGGCUCCAAGGAGUUUAAUUUGCUUUUAUAAUUAUUUGGCUAAACUACCGCCUUUACAAUAUCUACAUUAGCAAUACACUAUUUCCUUAUUAACUAUUUCAAGGUCUUGAAAUUGUUUUAUAUUUUAAAAUAAUAAUUUUUGUUGAUGUAACUAAUUAUGAUAGCAUUUUGCAAUAACAGCUAUUCAUUUUGCUCCAGCCGACUGGUAGAAUUUCAGUAUAAGAAUAAGAACAAUAGCCUAAGUGGAAUCUUUCUCCCACUUAUAUCUCCUUUGCUCUCUUGCAUUAAAAAGACAUGUUCAGGAGAAAGUCAUAAAUCAGUGUCACUCCCUGUUGGUGUGAGCCACAGACCCAUGAGUUGGAUGUCACCUGGAGGGUCCUGGAGUCGUGAAACACACGGACACAGGCAGGUGCUAGGGCCCAUGGGGAGCAGGAGUCAGAGACUGGUUCUUCCAAGGGCCAGCAGGUUAGGGGCCAGGUGGACAAGCCACACGGGCUGUCCCGAGGUCACCUGGUGGCCAGAGGGAACCAGGAUUCUUGCAGGCACCAUGAUGGUGAACUGGAAAAUCUGGGAGAUAAAAUUUAAAUCCCCACUCUGCCAUUUUCUGUGUGAUUUCACUAAGCUGAGUGAAACUCUCUACACUUGUGAUGGGGGAACAAUGCCCAUCUCACAGCGCUGUGAAGAGUCGAUGAGAAUACGGAAAGACAGUCGAAGCCGGACAGCAUAGCUGGGACCCUGGAGUUGGGUCAAAUCCCAGCUGUCCCCCCGGGGGUCACGGACUCGUCCAUCACGUGAUGUGAGGCUAUUCCAGGAGCCUCGGUGUCCUCAGUGCAUGAUGGGGACCUGAGCAGCACCCAGCAUGCUGGGCACGGAGUAAAGCUCAGAGCCAUCAGCUGGCAUCACACAGCGGACAGCUCCUCCCAGGGCAUCCCCUCGGCACUCAACGAGAGACCGCGAUUCUUGGCUAAGCGGGGCUGCUGGAGGAGAACAGGAAGCACACUGAGAGCAGCAGCAGGAGCUAUAAUCUGAGCUCAACUUUGUCACCAAGGAAAUUUGGCAGAGCAAACCCGACCUUUUCCCAGGGACCACUGUGAAUAAACAUACACAACACCCUCUGCAGAAACACACACACACACACACACACACACACACACACACAAACACACACACCUGGGAUGCAUGAAAGCAACAGGGGCUCUGUCCGGGUCUGUCCGCAAAGCAAUGAAACACGCAUGCCCGGAAAGCACGGGCUCCUAGCAAGAGCAGUUGUACUCCGGAUGUUUGCCACGCCCAGCGCCGAAAGUGCGGCACAACCUUGAGCUUAUGAUAACCUCGGAAGAGCAUCCGGGACAGACAGGCGUGCGUGGUUGCACUUGUUAAAUAUGUUUGUUAAGUAUUUUUGAUUCGGCCAACGGCUCUAUUUGAAGUCUGGCUCCUCUGCACUUGUUCAAGUCAGCUUCUUUUCUUUCCAACACCCUUCCCUGUCUGAAUCUCCCCUUGACAGUCUGAGGCCAAUCCCAAGGGGCUUGACACUCCCCUUCUCCGUGCCUCAGGAUGCUGCCCGAGAUGCUACGUGCAGGGGCCAGGGUGGGAGCGCUGGGAGGAGGGUAACGUGUGAGAUAGAGAAACUUCCCGCCUGGUCCUCUGCCCCAAAAGCGAUGGACCAUCUUCUAGAUUGGCAAAUAAUGAGGAAAGUUGGGUCCACUCUUCUGCAAGCAGCUGGAGUCACAGGGGCCGGCACUACAGCAAACCCUUGGUGAUCGGGUUAUGCCAAUGAGCUCCACGUGAAUUUCAAAAUCAGAGCACACAGUAU